rnacentral:lncRNA from 1 species
CAUCUCAUCAUUUUUCAUCUCAUUUAAUCUCAUUUCAUUUCAUUUCAUCUCAUCAUUUCAGCUCAUCAUUUCAUCUCACCACAUCUCUUCAUUUCAUCAUUUCAUUUCAACAUUUCAUCAUUUCAGCUCAUCAUUUCAUCUCAUCUCAUCUUUCAAUUUCAUUUCAAUAUCAUUUCAUUUCAUCAUUUCAUCUCAUUUCAUUAUUUCAUUAUUUCAUUUCAUCUCAUUUCAAUUCAUCUCAUCAUUUUAUCUCAUUUUUCAUCUCAUCAUUUUUCAUCUCAUCAUUUAAUCUCAUCAUCUCAUCUCAUCAUUUCAUCUCAUCAUUUCAUCUCAUCAUUUUAUCUCAUUUCAUCUCAUCUCAUUUCAAUUUCAUUAUUUCAUUUCAUUUCACUUCAUUUCAUUUCAUCUCAUCAUUUCAUCUCAUCUUAUUUCAUCUCAUCAUUUCUUCUCAUCUCAUUUCAUCAUUUCAUUUCAUCUCAUCUCACCUCAUCUCAUUUCAUCUCAUCAUUUCAUCUCAUCAUUUCAUCUCAUCCUUUCAUCUCAUCAUUUCAUCUCUUCAUCUCAUUUCAUCUCAUCAUCUCAUCAACUCAUUUCAUCUUAUCUCAUCAUUUCAUCAUUUCAUCUCAUCAUUUCAUCUCAUCUCGUAUCUUCUCAUCUCAUUUCAAUUUCAUUAUUUCAUUUCAUUAUUUCAUGUCAUCUCAUCUCAUCACAUCUCAUCAUUUCAUCAUUUUAUUUCAUAAUUUCAUCUUAUCAUUUCAUCUCAUCUCAUUUCAAUUUUAUUUCAAUUUCA